rnacentral:lncRNA from 1 species
GGGGAAAUGACAAGCCAUUGUUCAAUAUUGACUUAGAGAGAGUAGAAAAAGUUUCAAUGGAACGUCCAUAGGACGUAAGACCGUAGGAGCCGCCUCCCACUUCCUAUAUGGUUACAUGGAUUCUAGGCUAACACGCAGUCCAUCAAUUCACAGUCAAUGCGUGCACGUACUAGUCUAUUAGAUCCAUUGACUGUGAAUGAUUAGAUCCACGCUGAGAAUGGCGGACACGAGAGAAGAGCGGCUGCUGAAGGCAAAAGCAACUUUUAAGAAGAACCUGGACACUUAACAUGCACACUUUCUCAAAGCUAGGGAUGUUAUGACUCGUGACAGUUAUAAAGUUUGUAAUUAUGUCACGUCUGUCGUAUUUGACCGCAAAAAAAGUACUUUUUGCUCGUAGCUAGUUUUGCACAAUGGGAUUUUCAGCCGUUCCUGGAUCUAACCCCACGACCAAAAAGUGACUCUGCGUUCUUCCUGCUUGUAAGAAACUACGAGUUAGGAGGAAGCGUCUGGGGAGAGCAAGAGACCUGGAGGCGGAUGUGUUCUGAGGAUACAACGGGAUGUGAGUUGAACCUUUUGUGCACCUCUUAACCCCACCUUAACUGAGGGCAUUUUCUCCAGUUCAGCUUCACCCAAAUCUAAAAGCUUGUC